rnacentral:rRNA from 1 species
UACGUAGGGGGCAAGCGUUGUCCGGAAUCAUUGGGCGUAAAGAGCGUGUAGGCGGCCCGAUAAGUCCGCCGUGAAAGUCCAGGGCUCAACCCUGGAAUGCCGGUGGAAACUGUCGGGCUGGAGUCCGGAAGAGGAGAGUGGAAUUCCUGGUGUAGCGGUGAAAUGCGCAGAUAUCAGGAAGAACACCUAUGGCGAAGGCAGCUCUCUGGGACGGUACUGACGCUGAGACGCGAAAGCGUGGGGAGCGAACAGG